UAGCUUGCUAUUUUGCUGACGAGUGGCGCACGGGUGCGUAACGCGUAUACAAUCUACCUUUUGCUGAGGGAUAGCCCAGAGAAAUUUGGAUUAAUACCUCAUGGUAUUAUUGAUAGGCAUCUAUUAAUAAUUAAAGGUUACGGCAAAAGAUGAGUAUGCGUCCCAUUAGCUAGUUGGUGAAGUAACGGUUCACCAAGGCAACGAUGGGUAGGGGUCCUGAGAGGGAGAUCCCCCACACUGGUACUGAGACACGGACCAGACUCCUACGGGAGGCAGCAGUGAGGAAUAUUGGACAAUGGGCGAGAGCCUGAUCCAGCCAUGCCGCGUGCAGGAAGACUGCCCUAUGGGUUGUAAACUGCUUUUAUACAGGAAGAAUAAGCCUUACGUGUAAGGUGAUGACGGUACUGUAAGAAUAAGGACCGGCUAACUCCGUGCCAGCAGCCGCGGUAAUACGGAGGGUCCGAGCGUUAUCCGGAAUUAUUGGGUUUAAAGGGUCCGUAGGCGGAUGAUUA
rnacentral:rRNA from 1 species